rnacentral:rRNA from 1 species
UAGAGACCGGCGCACGGGUGCGUAACGCGUUUGCAAUCUGCCUUUCACAGAGGGAUAGCCCAGGGAAAUUUGGAUUAAUACCUCAUAGUAUAGUACAACCGCAUGGUUGCACUAUUAAAGUCACAACGGUGAAAGAUGAGCAUGCGUCCCAUUAGUUAGUUGGUAAGGUAACGGCUUACCAAGACUUCGAUGGGUAGGGGUCCUGAGAGGGAGAUCCCCCACACUGGUACUGAGACACGGACCAGACUCCUACGGGAGGCAGCAGUGAGGAAUAUUGGUCAAUGGGCGCAAGCCUGAACCAGCCAUGCCGCGUGCAGGAUGACGGUCCUAUGGAUUGUAAACUGCUUUUGUACGAGAAGAAACACUCCUACGUGUAGGAGCUUGACGGUAUCGUAAGAAUAAGGAUCGGCUAACUCCGUGCCAGCAGCCGCGGUAAUACGGAGGAUCCAAGCGUUAUCCGGAAUCUUUGGGUUUAAAGGGUCCGUAGGCGGUCUUGUAAGUCAGUGGUGAAAGCCCAUCGCUCAACGAUGGAACGGCCAUUGAUACUGCAGGACUUGAAUUACCAGGAAGUAACUAGAAUAUGUAGUGUAGCGGUGAAAUGCUUAGAGAUUACAUGGAAUACCAAUUGCGAAGGCAGGUUACUACUGGUUUAUUGACGCUGAUGGACGAAAGCGUGGGUAGCGAACAGGAUUAGGUACCCUGGUAGUCCACGCCGUAAACGAUGGAUACUAGCUGUUGGGGGCAACUUCAGUGGCUAAGCGAAAGUGAUAAGUAUCCCACCUGGGGAGUACGUUCGCA